AGCGAGCUGAACCAACAGAUUCACUUCGGUGAUGACGUUGGGAACGCGAGCGGCGGAUGGGUGAGUAACACGUGGGGAACCUGCCCCAUAGUCUGGGAUACCACUUGGAAACAGGUGCUAAUACCGGAUAAGAAAGCAGAUCGCAUGAUCAGCUUAUAAAAGGCGGCGUAAGCUGUCGCUAUGGGAUGGCCCCGCGGUGCAUUAGCUAGUUGGUAGGGUAACGGCCUACCAAGGCAAUGAUGCAUAGCCGAGUUGAGAGACUGAUCGGCCACAUUGGGACUGAGACACGGCCCAAACUCCUACGGGAGGCAGCAGUAGGGAAUCUUCCACAAUGGACGAAAGUCUGAUGGAGCAACGCCGCGUGAGUGAAGAAGGUUUUCGGAUCGUAAAGCUCUGUUGUUGGUGAAGAAGGAUAGAGGUAGUAACUGGCCUUUAUUUGACGGUAAUCAACCAGAAAGUCACGGCUAACUACGUGCCAGCAGCCGCGGUAAUACGUAGGUGGCAAGCGUUGUCCGGAUUUAUUGGGCGUAAAGCGAGCGCAGGCGGAAGAAUAAGUCUGAUGUGAAAGCCCUCGGCUUAACCGAGGAACUGCAUCGGAAACUGUUUUUCUUGAGUGCAGAAGAGGAGAGUGGAACUCCAUGUGUAGCGGUGGAAUGCGUAGAUAUAUGGAAGAACACCAGUGGCGAAGGCGGCUCUCUGGUCUGCAACUGACGCUGAGGCUCGAAAGCAUGGGUAGCGAACAGGAUUAGAUACCCUGGUAGUCCAUGCCGUAAACGAUGAGUGCUAAGUG
rnacentral:rRNA from 1 species